GGGGGGGGGGGGGGGGAGGGGCGGCGGUGGCUGUAGAGCGCAAGCGCCCUGUGUGCCUGUUGCCGGCUUGGCGACCUUUCUGAGCCUGCGGCCUCACAGUUGUCGAGUGACUCAGGUGGCCUGUGAGACUGAGUUGCCGUGGUGACGGCCGUGCGUGGCCGCGCGUGACAGUUAGAUGAGAGCUUGCUGGAGGAGAUCGGCGAUGCUGAGCGCCGGAGAUAUUUCUGCUAUUCCCAAAGGAACAUAAAGCUUCUUGGGAAUUCACUACUCCCCUACCCCCAAGAAUACAACCCUGGUAACUGCAGCAAAACCAGUGUGUUCUCAGUUUCCACGGAGUAAAGUACUUGGCUAGACACAUACUAGGUCCUCGGUAGGCAUCAGACUUGGAGCAGAGAGACCUUCCUGUCCAUCUUCUUCUCUUCCUCUGGCACUACCAACUUCAGCCUUCCUAAAG
rnacentral:lncRNA from 12 species